UACAGAGGGUGCAAGCGUUAAUCGGAAUUUCUGGGCGUAAAGCGUGCGUAGACGGUUAUGUAAGUCAGGUGUGAAAGCCCCGGGCUCAACCUGGGAAUUGCAUUUGAGACUGCAUAGCUAGGGUGCGGAAGAGGGAAGCGGAAUUUCCGGUGUAGCGGUGAAAUGCGUAGAUAUCGGAAGGAACAUCAGUGGCGAAAGCGGCUUCCUGGUCCAGCACCGACGUUCAGGCACGAAAGCGUGGGGAGCAAACAGG
rnacentral:rRNA from 1 species